rnacentral:rRNA from 1 species
GAUGAACGCUGGCGGCGUGCCUAAUACAUGCAAGUCGAGCGAACAGACGAGGAGCUUGCUCCUCUGACGUUAGCGGCGGACGGGUGAGUAACACGUGGAUAACCUACCUAUAAGACUGGGAUAACUUCGGGAAACCGGAGCUAAUACCGGAUAAUAUAUUGAACCGCAUGGUUCAAUAGUGAAAGACGGUUUUGCUGUCACUUAUAGAUGGAUCCGCGCCGCAUUAGCUAGUUGGUAAGGUAACGGCUUACCAAGGCAACGAUGCGUAGCCGACCCGAGAGGGUGAUCGGACACACUGGAAGUGAGACACGGUACAGACUCCGACGGGAGGCAGCAGUAGGGAAUCUUCCGCAAUGGGCGAAAGCCUGACGGAGCAACGCCGCGUGAGUGAUGAAGGUCUUCGGAUCGUAAAACUCUGUUAUUAGGGAAGAACAAAUGUGUAAGUAACUAUGAACGUCUUGACGGUACCUAAUCAGAAAGCCACGGCUAACUACGUG